GCCGAGGUGGCGAAAUUGGCAGACGCACUGCGUUCAGGUCGCAGCGAGAGCAAUCUCAUGAGGGUUCAAGUCCCUCCCUCGGCACCA
rnacentral:tRNA from 1 species